ACGCCUUCCAUGAAGCUGGAAUUGCUGUAAUGGCAGGUCAGCAUACUGCCGUGAAUACGUUCCCGGGCCCUUGUACACACCGCCCGUCACACCAUGAGAGUUGGAAAUACCCGAAGCCUGUGAGCUAACUGUAAAGAGGCAGCAGUCGAAGGUAGAGCCAAUGAUUGGGGUGAAGUCGUAACAAGGUAUC
rnacentral:rRNA from 1 species